rnacentral:rRNA from 1 species
AGUGAACGCUGGCGGUAGGCCUAACACAUGCAAGUCGAACGGCAGCACAGUAAGAGGUUGCUCUUACGGGUGGCGAGUGGCGGACGGGUGAGGAAUACAUCGGAAUCUACUUUUUCGUGGGGGAUAACGUAGGGAAACUUACGCUAAUACCGCAUACGACCUACGGGUGGAAGCAGGGGAUCUUCGGCCCUUGCGCGUUUGAAUGAGCCGGUGUCGGAUUAGCUAGUUGGCGGGGUAAAGGCCCACCAAGGCGACGAUCCGUAGCUGGUCUGAGAGGAUGAUCAGCCACACUGGAACUGAGACACGGUCCAGACUCCUACGGGAGGCAGCAGUGGGGAAUAUUGGACAAUGGGCGCAAGCCUGAUCCAGCCAUACCGCGUGGGUGAAGAAGGCCUUCGGGUUGUAAAGCCCUUUUGUUGGGAAAGAAAAGCAGCAGGUUAAUACGCCGCUGUUCUGACGGUACCCAAAGAAUAAGCACCGGCUAACUACGUG